ACAACCCUAGCACCCCGCCUCCCUGUUAAGUGCUGAGGGAUGUACGUAAUGAUAUCUGCGAGACAGCUCCGGCAAUCUGCCGGUGACAUAUCCGGCCUGCACUGCGCCACACCGUAAAUCUUGGGUUUCGCCUUGUCGAUCGUCUCGAACCCCUCCUCCCCUGUGCCGAACCGCCUGGAGGAGUCAGCGGCCGCGUAAUCCGCGGUGGCGUUUAUGAGCAUGCCCACGGCGGCGUCGAACACCUUCACCGGCACGGUCACGUUCUGCGUGUUGUACAGUACGAGGACGCUGUUGUCGCCGUUGGUGGCGGAGAGAAAGUUCUGGUUGGAGAAGCGGAGGUAGCAGGGGUCGUAGUAGACGGUGGCGUCCUUGCUGUAGGGGCAGAGCUGCUGCGCGUCCUUGAAGCCGUUGGACACGCAGUCGCCGCAGGCGGAGGCGUUGGCGUCGCCGCGGCAGAGCGCGAGCGCGUAGACGAUGUCCGGAACAGUGCCGACGCUGGCGAGCGCGAAGAGCGUCCGCGAGGAGGAGGCGUUCUUGGGAAGGGUGGUGGAGAGGGCCUGGAUGUUAGCCUGGUAGGUGCUGUUCUGAGUGAAGUUGCUGUUCUUGCCGCAGCUCUGCCACUGGGAAGCGGCCAGCGGCGGGAGGAGGAAGGCAAGGAGGAGGGCCGUGGCGGUGGCGAGGUAGGAGGGGAUGCGGCCGCGGUGGUGUGAGGCCAUGGUGUUUGGCCGCUUGGGCGAGCCGAC
rnacentral:rRNA from 1 species